CUAUGUUUUUCUUAAUCUCGUGAAAGGCUAACUUGUUGUGUGUUCUCGCUGCAGGAAAACGCUUUGACCUUCUCUCGGAGGCAGAGGACACCGCUCUGCGUUUAAGAUUCAGCCCUGCUCAAAGGUCAGAGGCCCCUUCGUAAGCGCCACUACGGGAAAGGCUGUCCGUCCCUCAGGAAAUCAGUUGGACUGUUGGCUGCACGGGGGAAAAGUCCUUCUCAAGACAUUCAGCUCCAGCAAAACGCAACUAACACUGACUGGACACACAAAGCCUACGUCUGGUCACCGGGGGGGACAACUGAAAGGUGGCGGUGAAGGAGCACGUGGAUAAACGGUGCUCGUUUCUUGGUCCAUUGUUAUCGCCACACAUGCACCACAACUGCCUGAACGUUUUAAAUGUGUGUUUCAUUUCAAUGUUUCUCUCCUUGUCUCUGUGCCAGGCUCUCGUUAGGAAUCCCUGUCGCUGUCGUCACCCCCAUACAUGUCUGCCAGUUUCUUAAACCGGGGUCCCCACUCGCUCAGGUAGUUGUAGUCCUGGUCGCCCUCGGUCGUCACAGACUCAAGGGAGCUAAGGGACUCCGCUACGGAGCCGGUUCCCUCGUAAGCAUAGGUGGCCAAAGAAUCGUAAGGUGGUGCCGUUGGGUCACUGUCGUUGUCCUGCAGCCUUUGGUUGAUGAAGUCUCUCACGUCCCCGUUAUUGUCCCGGAUCGGGGGCAGCACGGGCCGUCGAACAGGAGGGAAGAAGGUCUCGGGGACGAUGUCCCUCCGCUGCUUGUUGUCCUCGAUGGCCUCUGGGUUGCGCAGUGUGCCAAUAUCAAAGGCCUGAGUGUCCUCCUCUCCGCCCCCUUCAUCGUUGUAGCUGACUACGUUGUCUCUGACAUCCUCUUUGGAGAUGAUCAGAGGCUCCUUCUUCCUCUGUCUCCUCAGGGCAGCAAACAGCACCACGAUCACUACAGGGAGAACAAAAACAAAGACAACAAGCGUCAGACUUUGGUGACUUUUGCUGUUGUUGCUCCUCCUCGUUUUGAAGGCCAGGGACUGUCCAGGGGGAAUUUGUGAUAUUGCAUGAGUGUUCACUGAUGUUCAGCUACCACAAGGAUGCAUUAUGUAUUUUGCCUCCCCAGCACAAAAACUGCAGUUUUAGAAAACACAAUAAAUGGUGUGCUAGAGACACAUCUACGUGAUAUGUUGCAUCAUUGCAUUUGAGCUAAG